UUUCAUAUGUAUCACCAACUUCUCCUCCCAUUCUCUGAAUUCUAUGAUAUAUAAUAAUAACAAAACCCUGUCCUGUUUUAAGUAUUGUAAUCCCUGAUCACUGAUACCCUGUCCAAGCGACGUAGGGCCCCGUAAUGUAUGUCAAGGCUCUGCUUAAAUCCAUUGGGGUUCUGUCCCGUGACGUAGGAAUAAAGUGGAAUUGGGUUACUAUAUUUAAGUAUGAGUGCACUAUAUAUUUAUCAAAUCACCCAGGAGUGAUACCCAAAAUAUAACCACCCUCAUAAAACACCCCUGACACCCUACACUUUCUAAAAUACACCCCGUAUGUGAAAACCGAGCCCGAAAUACAAUAUAGCAUUAAAAAUAAAUGAAAAACAAGAAAUAGUAAGUUGAGGCGGGUCACGUGAGCCCACCCCAAACCCUUACACGGGCGGUAUGAAAGCUAGAACCAGACUCCUUUGGUUUCUUAAGUCUAGGCGGGCCGCAUAAGGCCACACCGUUAGUUUACGCGGGCCGCGAGUGUCCCACUUGGUGGCGCAGCCCGGUGAUGACACGUGUCAUCAUCGUGGCGAGGCUAGAUCAUGACCAGGACAAGCUACGCGUUGACCCAGUAUUGACGCGGGCCGCGUAGGCCUUGCCUGUUCUUUACGCGGGCCGCGUGGGAACCAGUUUCAGCAACUAUAUAAAGAACGCAUCGGAUUUCAAUUCAGUUCGCUCACAAUUCAAUUCUCAAUCUCAAUUUCUGUAGUAGAGUGAUUAUACUCGGGUAUCAUACCCCUAAGUAACGAGGUUCUGCUACGAUGUAAGUAUUAUAACCCCUGGAGACAUAUUAGAUACGCUGCCCGAUUAAUCUAGGGUUCCAUAAUGGCUGUCGUGGUUCUGCCCGACGUAGUCGUUGGAAUGCCGUCUCGGGGAGGAUAUUCACCAGGAAACCCUAAAGGAUAACCUAAGACAGCAAUGUGAGUUUAUCCUCUUUUUGUUAAUGUUUUUGGAAUAAUUUACAAAACCUUAAAUGUUUUACAAUGUGAUUAAACGGUGAUUGAGUCUUUGUAGUUCUUCAAUUACUGCCGGUAUGUUGGGGUUUUGUAUACAAAAUUUGUACUACUUGCGAGUAGUAAGUCGGGAUGACAAUACGUUACCAUUGGACAAUGAGUUAGCCAAUGGGUAAUAUGACCCACAAGUCAGGAUUGAUAGUACCAAAUGGAAUAAUUGUGUAGACAUAAACAUUGUAAUCGUCCUCGAUACUGCUUUAAUCGAUAAAAUGUUUCUUGAUUAAACUGGGAUUCACUCACCAGUAUUUCCUGCUGAUAAAAUGUUUUAAACACGUGUUUCAGGUAACUUAGUGUGAAGCCAAUAAAAGCCAGCUGGAGAGCACUGAAGGCUUGGAAAAGUGGCAAUAAAGUUACCUAAAAUAAAAUAGAUGUUUUUAUUAAAUAAAAUAGGAUUUAUUCCUAUGGAAACAUGUGUACUACGAAUUUGGGUUCUUUCCCAUAUAUAAUUGUAUUUAUAAAAUAUGGUGGUUUACU
rnacentral:lncRNA from 1 species